CCCUUAGAUGUCCUGGGCCGCACGCGCGCUACACUGAUGCAUUCAACGAGUAUUUCCUUGGCCGAGAGGCCUGGGCAAUCUUUUAAACCUGCAUCGUGAUAGGGAUAGAUUAUUGCAAUUAUUAAUCUUGAACGAGGAAUUCCUAGUAAACGCAAAUCAUCAAUUUGCAUUGAUUACGUCCCUGCCCUUUGUACACACCGCCCGUCGCACCUACCGAUUGAAAGGUCCGGUGAAAUCUCGGGAUUGUGGCCAGUUCACUUUAUUGGGAGUUGGCUGCGAGAACUUGCUUAAACCUUAUCAUUUAGAGGAAGGUGAAGUCGUAACA
rnacentral:rRNA from 1 species